GAACGCUGNCGGCGUGCCUAAUACAUGCAAGUCGAACGAGUUCUCGUUGAUGAUCGGUGCUUGCACCGAGAUUCAACAUGGAACGAGUGGCGGACGGGUGAGUAACACGUGGGUAACCUGCCCUUAAGUGGGGGAUAACAUUUGGAAACAGAUGCUAAUACCGCAUAGAUCCAAGAACCGCAUGGUUCUUGGCUGAAAGAUGGCGUAAGCUAUCGCUUUUGGAUGGACCCGCGGCGUAUUAGCUAGUUGGUGAGGUAAUGGCUCACCAAGGCGAUGAUACGUAGCCGAACUGAGAGGUUGAUCGGCCACAUUGGGACUGAGACACGGCCCAAACUCCUACGGGAGGCAGCAGUAGGGAAUCUUCCACAAUGGACGCAAGUCUGAUGGAGCAACGCCGGCGUGAGUGAAGAAGGCUUUCGGGUCGUAAACUCUGUUGUUGGAGAAGAAUGGUCGGCAGAGUAACUGUUGUCGGCGUGACGGUAUCCAACCAGAAAGCCACGGCUAACUACGUGCCAGCAGCCGCGGUAAUACGUAGGUGGCAAGCGUUAUCCGGAUUUAUUGGGCGUAAAGCGAGCGCAGGCGGUUUUUUAAGUCUGAUGUGAAAGCCCUCGGCUUAACCGAGGAAGCGCAUCGGAAACUGGGAAACUUGAGUGCAGAAGAGGACAGUGGAACUCCAUGUGUAGCGGUGAAAUGCGUAGAUAUAUGGAAGAACACCAGUGGCGAAGGCGGCUGUCUGGUCUGUAACUGACGCUGAGGCUCGAAAGCAUGGGUAGCGAACAGGAUUAGAUACCCUGGUAGUCCAUGCCGUAAACGAUGAAUGCUAGGUGUUGGAGGGUUUCCGCCCUUCAGUGCCGCAGCUAACGCGAUUAAGCAUUCCGCCUGGGGAGUACGACCGCAAGGUUGAAACUCAAAGGAAUUGACGGGGGCCCGCACAAGCGGUGGAGCAUGUGGUUUAAUUCGAAGCAACGCGAAGAACCUUACCAGGUCUUGACAUCUUUUGAUCACCUGAGAGAUCAGGUUUCCCCUUCGGGGGCAAAAUGACAGGUGGUGCAUGGUUGUCGUCAGCUCGUGUCGUGAGAUGUUGGGUUAAGUCCCGCAACGAGCGCAACCCUUAUGACUAGUUGCCAGCAUUUAGUUGGGCACUCUAGUAAGACUGCCGGUGACAAACCGGAGGAAGGUGGGGAUGACGUCAAAUCAUCAUGCCCCUUAUGACCUGGGCUACACACGUGCUACAAUGGAUGGUACAACGAGUUGCGAGACCGCGAGGUCAAGCUAAUCUCUUAAAGCCAUUCUCAGUUCGGACUGUAGGCUGCAACUCGCCUACACGAAGUCGGAAUCGCUAGUAAUCGCGGAUCAGCACGCCGCGGUGAAUACGUUCCCGGGCCUUGUACACACCGCCCGUCACACCAUGAGAGUUUGUAACACCCGAAGCCGGUGGCGGUAACCCUUUUAGGGAGCGAGCCGUCUAAGGUGGGACAAAUGAUUAGGGUAAGUCGAACAAGGUAGCCGUAGGAGAA
rnacentral:rRNA from 1 species